rnacentral:tRNA from 1 species
GGAGACGUGUCGGAGUGGUCUAACGUACCUCCUUGCUAAGGAGGCAGGCUUCAUCGCCUCGAGGGUUCGAAUCCCUCCGUCUCCG